rnacentral:rRNA from 1 species
AUGGCAGAGUUUGUAGUCAGGCCACUGGUAUCCACGUUGAUGAACACGGCAUCCAGCUACCUGCUGGACCAGUACAAGGUGAUGGACGGCAUGAAGGAGCAUCGCGAGACCCUCAAGCGCCAGCUACCAGCCAUCUUGGACAUCAUCCAAGAUGCGGAGGAGAAAGGAGCUUCCCGACCUGGAGUGCGUGCUUGGCUCGAAGCACUCAAGAAGGUGGCCUAUGAGGCGAACGAUGUCUUUGAUGAGUUCAAGUACGAGGCCCUCCGGCGUGACGCCAAGAAGAAGGGACACUACAAGAAGCUUGGCUUUGACAUCGUAAGCCUCUUCCCUGCUCGCAAUCCCAUUGUAUUUCGUUACAGGAUGGGCAAGAAGCUGUGCAGGAUUGUGCGCACCAUUGAGGUCCUUGUCAGAGAGAUGAAUAGAUUUGAAUUCAAACCCACGCAGCAAGCACCGCAAUCCAAGCAGUGGCGCAACACAGAUUCCAUAAUAAUCGACUCUGAGAAGGAUAUUGUUAGCAGGUCCAGAAACGAAGAGAAGGAGAAGAUCGUGGAUAUAUUGAUUGGUCAAGCUGGCGAUAGGGAUCUCAUCGUCCUUCCCAUUGUUGGAAUGGGCGGGCUGGGCAAGACCACAUUUGCUCAACUCGUGUACAAUGAUCCUGCAAUCAAGGAGUAUUUCCAGCUCCAGAGGUGGUGUUGCGUGUCAGAUGAUUUUGAUGUUGUGAAGAUUGCAAACAACAUCUGCGAGACCAAUGAGAUCCAUCGUGAAAAGGCAUUGCGGAACCUUCAAAAUGAAGUAAGUGGAAAGAGAUACCUUAUUGUGUUGGAUGAUGUAUGGAAUGAAGAUGCUGAUAAGUGGGAAAAACUCAAGACCUGCCUGAAGCAUGGUGGCAAGGGGAGUGCAAUACUAACGACCACUCGUAAAGCGCAAGUGGCUCAAAUUAUGAAGAUGUGUAUUGAUGAUAGCCAUAACUUGGGGAAGCUACAUAAAGUAUUUCUGAAGGAAAUCUUUGAGAACAGAGCAUUUUGUUUGCAUAAGCCAAGUGCUGCUGAGCUAAGUGGUAUGGUUGAAAAGAUUCUGGACAAAUGUGGGGGCUCUCCUUUAGCUGCCAAAGCCUUUGGAUCAAUGUUGAGUAACAAGAAUAGCAUGAAAGAAUGGAUGAAUGUACUAACCAGAAGCAACACUUGUGAUGAGGACACAGGAAUUUUACCUAUACUCAAGCUCAGCUAUGAUGACCUUCCAUUACACUUAAAACAAUGCUUUGCUUUUUGUUCAUUAUUUCCCAAAGAUUAUGAGAUUGAUGUUGAAAUAUUAAUUCAGCUAUGGAUGGCACAUGAUUUCAUACCACUAAAGAAAGGUGACCAUCUUGAAAAGGUAGGCAAAGAAAUUUUUGAUGAGCUAACUUGGAGGUCAUUCUUUCAAGAUGUCAAGCAAACCUCUCAAAGAGAAUAUCAGUAUGAGCUCCGUUCUAGAACAAUAUGCCACAUUCAUGAUCUUAUGCAUGACAUUGCCUUGUCUGUUAUGGGAAAAGAUUGUCUUACUAUAGUCGAUAGGCCUAAUGAAAAGGAGUUGUUGUCAAAAGGCUCUACUCGUCACAUGUUCUCAUCAUAUCGCCAUAUGGGAAUGCUUUUGGAUGAUUAUCUGAAGAAACACUCUACAUCUCUCCAAACACUGUUGUAUCCAGAUAGCUUCAGUCGAGGCUCAGCACCACACUUGUCGAUGUACAGUCAUCUGCGAGCACUGCAACUCUUUGGGUUGAGGAAACUUCCACUCCGACCAAGGCACCUACAGCACCUGAGGUAUCUUGAUCUCUCAUCCAACUGGUGUAUCAAGGAGCUUCCCAAAGAAAUAAGCGUAUUGUAUAAUCUGCAGACUCUUAAUCUUACCUUCUGCAUUAAUCUUGAUCGACUUCCAAAGGAUAUGAAGUAUAUGACUAAUCUCCGCCACCUCUAUACAAAUGGAUGCACAUCAUUGAAGUGCAUGCCUCCAGACCUCGGGCAACUCACUUCCCUACAGACUCUAACGUAUUUUGUGGUGGGUUCUAGUCAUGGUUGCAGUACUAUUAAAGAACUACAAGACUUAAAUCUUGGUGGUGAAUUAAAGCUAUCUGGUCUUCACUAUGCAAUAGAAGAAGAUGCUAAAGCAUGCGGCCUUGGAAACAAAGAGAAACUCACACAUUUAUCUCUUGAAUGGAAUGAUGAUAGUACUGAACUGGACCAGCAAAGGAAUGUGCUUGAUGCUCUUAAACCUCAUGCCGCACUGGAGUUUCUACAAAUAAACUCCUAUAAAGGUAUUGGAUUCCCGACAUGGGUGACAAGUCUUAAUGUUCUGCAGCGUUUGACCGAGCUCCACCUAGAUGGUUGUACAAUGUCUGAGGAGUUUCCCCAAUUCGGUCAAUUUAACGCCCUUGAGGUUCUUGUUUUGGAAAGGUUAAACAAACUGCAAAGCCUAUGUAGUCACAAUUCAUCUGCUGCAUUUCCAGCACUAAAAGACCUCAGAUUAGCAAAUUUGGAACUUUUUGAGAGAUGGGUGGCAAGUACAGAAGGAGAAGAACUAGUGUUUCCUGUACUUGAGAAAGUUCAAAUUGAGAACUGCCCAAAGCUAACAACUCUGCCUGAAGCACCAAAACUGAAAGUUAUGAAGCUAAGAGAAGAAAAAGCUCAACUAUCCUUGUCAAUAUUUCGAUCCAGGUACAUGUCUUGCUUGUCUAAGUUAUCUGUGUUUGUCAAAGAUACAGAAGCAACACCAACACUGAAGCUCGAUCAGGAUCGUGAAGUAUCUCUUUUGGAAUUGUGGGUGGAUGGUUGCAACUUUUUGUUCCCCUCAAAUCCAUCACAGCCAGCAGUUGCAGUCUGGAAAUGGUUUGGUCAGCUAGAGGAAUUAGUGAUCGAAGAUUGUGAUAUUCUCACCUACUGGCCUGAAGAAGAGUUUCAAAGCUUGAUAUCAUUGAAGAGUUUAACCAUCGAUAACUGCAGCAAGCUAAUGGGAUAUCGUACUCGAGGAAGGGAUCAACUCCUGCCAAAUCUAAUAAAACUAAGGAUAUAUAAUUGUGAAAGCCUGACAGAGCUUUUCGUUCUCCCCACAUCUCUUGUGCAUAUUUUCGUUGUUGAUUGUGAUAGUCUUGAGUCCAUACUGGGGCAGGAUGAUAGAGAGUUGGAGAGUCUACAAAACUUUGAUACAACAGCAUCGUUGGAAAACUGCAGUGACCUUGCACCCACAAGUAUGCCAGAGCAGUCACUUACAGCCAGAAUUAAUCCUUUGCCAUGUCUCAAGACUUUAUCAAUAGGUGACUGUAAGAAGCUUCGUUUCGUCCCAGCACAGUUGGAUGCUCUCCUAGAUCUGUACAUUGAUAAUUGCAAUGUUCUGGAGUCGCUUGAUUGUUUGGGAGACCUGCCGUUACUGACAACACUAAAUCUUCAGAGGUGCAAACGUUUGGCAUCUGUUCCACGUAGUUUUGCCAAUUAUUCAGCCCUUCGGGAGCUCACUAUUGAAUACUGCCCAGCUAUAAAUAUGAAGGCUCUUUAUGGACAACGGCUUGAUAGCCUUGAAAUCAAGGAUCUGUCUCAUGCUGGUUUAUGCGAUCCUGAUGAAGGUGUUAAAAUGAACCCAUGGAACCUCGUGUGA